CUGACAUACCUGCAGAGCUCACAGGAGUCCAUUCGAGAGACAGCCAUCAAGUUCAUCAGUGAGACAUGGCCCCAGGGCCCAUCCUUUCCCACCACAGCUCUGCCCAGCCCUAGCAGCUGCACUGGCAAUAGGAUUUAGCCCAGUGGCUUUGGAGCCCUGGCUCCCUGGUUCAGGGUCACAGUCGGGGCCACUGCCACCCUCUCUCAUCCUGGGGUUUCACAGUCUUUGAAGGUCCUGGGCUUAGCCCUGCCAGGGGAGGAGGGUGUGUGGCUGGGCUGGCAGCACUGGUGUGCGGGAGCUGAGUCACUGGGGCCAUGACAGGCUCUGUGUUCCCAGAGCUCAUUGGGCAGCACAUGAGGGGACGACGGCAGGAAGAGUUCCAGAUCAUCCAUGAUGCUCUUCUAGGCAUGGAAAAUAACAUCAGCCCCUCUGUCUCAACCCUGCACAGCUUAAGAACUGCACAAAGAAAUGGCCCAUUGCAUCUGCUACAAGACCAGCUCCACAGGGUGUAUAUAUGUUGGUAUAAUUGUUGGUAUAAUUUGUGUUUUAUUGUACACAUAUAAAAUCAAGUACAAAAGCAUGUUUUAUAUAAAAAACACAAGCAACUUGAGAUUGCAAAAGCAGCUGCUGCAAAACCAGGAAUUUGCAAGAGAACAACCCAACAAUUAAGAUAACACCGGAGAAGAGGUGGGUCCACCCAAGCAAUAUGAGCGCUCUAACAACCCAGUGAUUAACGCCUGAUACAGACCUGAUCUGAUUCUCCAGGACCAUACAUCUCAAUACCCAGUUCCCAUAGAACUACUCAGACUCUCCCCCUUUCUCAGAAACUUCAUUAACAAAGCAACAGAAAAAAAUAUGAAUAUGUAACAACACAAGAAAAAAGAAACUGAAGCUGCAUAGCCUCAAGCUGAAAAAACUGUAUAAAACACAGCUCUCCAAAAGACAGUUUGUGAACCUGGGGGAAUCAGUGUAAGAGAGGCUGAUUCAGGGUUCACCCAGCACCGAUCCCAGGCUCUACACUGACCAUGAUUGUGGCUGUUUCCAAAAUUUGAUUUUGCAAAUUUUUCAAUAAAAUUGUUACUGAUAAAUUUGGCCA
rnacentral:lncRNA from 1 species